GGGUCACUUGCGCACAUUCCAGAAGACCCGGCUUGGAUUUUCAGGGUGACUGGACUGGACUGGAUUGGAUUGGACUACCUGGCUCUCUGUGGAAUAUGUGUACUCAGCAUGUCGAGAUAAAGAGUGACUGCAGCGUCCAGUCAAGAGGCACCACAGCACUGAUCAAUGGUUAAGACGGAGCCACGGCACAGACAUGUUUCAACACCUACUGGUGGACAAAACACACUCACAUCAGCCAACUGCCCACCCACAUGACUGACAGGGGAGUAAUAUCUGGAUACAGCUCCUGGUGGCUUUCAGUUAUAUACGCUGAAAAAUAGAAACACAAAAAAGCAAUCUUGUAGAUAGUGAGAUUGAUUUCCCUCCCUCACUCCAGGCUGAAAUGAUUCCCCUGACGUUAUCGAAGCUACACAAUCACAGCAGCCCCUUCACAAUAGCACUAAUACGAGUCUGUGAUACAUAUCUCAUUGACAUAAGCUCGUGUGCCUCUCUGUGGACUCCUGACUAAAGAGAGAUAUUCAGCCUUAAUUUAUCUGUAACCUAGUUAAUUUGGGACAAGUGACAUGAUUUCUUAUUACUGCCACAUGGUCCGCUCCCCUCAGAGGGCAACGUGACAGUUGCUUGGAGACACGGAGCUUCCCAGCAGCUCUGCGGUUUGAACAUGAAAGUGCACUCAUGAGCUUCAGGAGAGUGGACAGAGGCAUCCCGACUCCUCAUCUCUCGCUGGACACACAAUAAGUCACCAGCAUUCAGGAGGAGAGCUGCUGCCUGGUGGUGAAGCUGGUCCUGUGUUUCACACAACUAUUCAAAGAAAGCACAGUCAUUCUCUUUAUUUUCUCGCUCACUUGCAGCUGCACAGAUUUGUUCUCUUUGUACAUUUCUACAUCAUUUCAGAAAGGUCUGGAUAACAUUUAAUAGCUGGUGUUAGGGGACAGUAAGUAAAGUGUUUCAGUACAGAUGUAGGUCUAAGGCAUGACUACAGUGACCGAGCUGACCUCUAGUGGAAGGUUUCGAGUCUGUUGCACCAACCACACCCAGCAGUGAUGGCAGAGUUGCUUCCUCAACCACAAACAGGUGUGAUAUCAUUUAUGAUCUGCACUUCACUGUUUGCUCUCCUGCAGUUGUACCAAUGCUAAGGUAAGUUAGCACAAAUGCUAACCUCCACUGAUCACUAAAACUUUUAAUAAGGGAGGAAAGAAAUAAUGAUGAAAAGCUGCAGACAACAGGCUUAUACAUAUCAGACAAAUCAUAUGAAACUGAUUAAUGUUUAAUUAAUUGUAUUGGUAGGUUUAGUCAAGUUGAAUUACAACCAUUUUAAUU